CCCUCAGUCGGUGCUGGAGCCUCUGCGCGGCAACAUCGCUCCCUUAGACACACUUGUUUAAAUUUAAACGAAAGGCAGCACGAGGCAGGCGGGCAGCACGGCAAACGCAACCCAGAAGAGGUAACGAGUAGCAAACUUGUCACCCUCAAGCUGGCUUUUACACAGAGCUGUUUGGAAACGGGAGGGUGGAGCUGGCACCGCUGGGGCAGUGGUUUCAGAAAAGCUCUUCUGUAGCUACUCAGGGAAAAAACUGCUGGAUCAUGUUGGUAUUUUUAUAAGUAACUCGAUGCGUGGUUCUAUUUUGGAUACCAACUAUGCAGCAAUGCAGACUGAUUUGAGAAAAUUGCAGGGGGAGGAAGAGAAAAGGAAGAUCCCCUUACAGAACAAGGGCUGCAGACUCCAGGGAAACCUCUUGAACCUUCAGGGGCUCAGUUUAACCAUGUGCCUUUUAAGAUAAGUUUUUAAAAGCCACUUAGAUUUUAUAAGGAAGAGAAAAUAAUGGUUAAUUGUGAUUGUGAUAUGUGAAGGAGUUGAACCAAACCAAUUAAAAAUCUUCAUCGUGA